rnacentral:rRNA from 2 species
UCGACCGCGACCCCAGGUCAGACGGGAUUACCCGCUGAGUUUAAGCAUAUCAAUAAGCGGUGGAGAAGAAAC